CUAUAAAGCGUCGUAGCGGACCUCGCUUGACAUUAUUUAGUGAAGUUAAUCCAUUGAAAGCAGCACUAAUUGGAAUUGCGAAAAAUGAAGAUCUUCGUUAUGGCGCUAUUGUUGGCGUGCACCAUUUGUGCAGUGCAAGGGGCCAACAAGAAAAAGCCCAACAUGAAAGCUAAGUGCUUCUGGCUGUGGAACGGAAGUGGCUCGAGUAGUGGAUCAUCCGGUUCAGGGUCGGGAACAGGAACAGGAUCAGGAUCCACAGCAUCAAGAUCAGCGAGUCCAGCUCAAAAUCCUAGGAGUCAACUGAUUCAAAGGAUCAGGGAAAAUAGACGUCGGAGGGCACAGCUUAUUGCAAAUAUGUUGCGAGGUUGAUUUGCUCGAUUCUGUUUGAAAUCGGAAAUUUUGAAAAAUAAAGCAAAUUCAAGAAAAGGAA